UUCAAGAUUAUCUAGUCUUUAUGUGGUAUGUCUUACACAUGAGAAAUUCAAAUUCUAAAUGGUCCAUUAAUUAUCUCUUGUUGUUUUUCAUUUGCCACUUGUUAAUAAUGUUGGGUUAUCACAUCAUGGUGGAGUAAUAUGCUAUGUGUGUAUUACAAGGCUAGAAAAUGUGUACAUUUGAGAUGUUGCCACAUAGUGUUGAUAUUAUAAAUUAUCUUAUUCCUAGUUGGCAUGUUAGCUAUACAAGUGUAAUUUGCUUGUGUUUUAGGAGUAAAGAUGAUGUUGGAUAUAUUUGCAAUCUACCAAUGAGAAUUAUUUCCAAACACUUCUUGUUCUUUGACAAUUGGUAUUCUCUUCAUGUGUUAGAAAUUGCUAAUCAUCUUUAUAUUGGAUUAUGUG
rnacentral:lncRNA from 1 species